rnacentral:sRNA from 1 species
UAUAAGGACUGGCAAAACGCCUUGAAC